UACGGGAGUGGCAAGCGUUAUCCGGAAUUAUUGGGCGUAAAGCGUCCGCAGGCGGUUUUACAAGUCUGUCGUUAAAACGUGGAGCUCAACUCCAUUUCGGCGAUGGAAACUGUAAGACUAGAGUGUGGUAGGGGCAGAGGGAAUUCCCGGUGUAGCGGUGAAAUGCGUAGAUAUCGGGAAGAACACCAGUGGCGAAGGCGCUCUGCUGGGCCAUAACUGACGCUCAUGGACGAAAGCCAGGGGAGCGAAAGGG
rnacentral:rRNA from 1 species